GUUACCUAAUUAUGCCAAAUAUUUAAAUAUACUAUAGAGGAUACUAAUAGGCAAUUCUCAGAUACAUAUAUUUUACAAAAAUGUGAAUUUAUACUUCUUUACAAGCAACAUCAACACCAAAAUGUUU